AGAGUUUGAUCCUGGCUCAGGAUGAACGCUGGCGGCGUGCUUAACACAUGCAAGUCGAACGGUGAACACGGAGCUUGCUCUGUGGGAUCAGUGGCGAACGGGUGAGUAACACGUGAGCAACCUGCCCCAGUCUCUGGGAUAAGCGCUGGAAACGGCGUCUAAUACCGGAUAUGACCUGCUGCUGCAUGGUGGUGGGUGGAAAGGGUCCUGCUUUUGUGGGGUCUGGUGAGGGAUGGGCUCGCGGCCUAUCAGCUUGUUGGUGGGGUAAUGGCCUACCAAGGCGAUGACGGGUAGCCGGCCUGAGAGGGCGACCGGCCACACUGGGACUGAGACACGGCCCAGACUCCUACGGGAGGCAGCAGUGAGGAAUAUUGCACAAUGAGCGAAAGCUUGAUGCAGCGACGCCGCGUGGGGGAUGAAGGCCUUCGGGUUGUAAACCUCUUUCAGCUCUGACGAAGCUGCCUGGUUUUCUGGGUGGUGACGGUAGGGGCAGAAGAAGCGCCGGCCAACUACGUGCCAGCAGCCGCGGUAAGACGUAGGGCGCAAGCGUUGUCCGGAUUUAUUGGGCGUAAAGAGCUCGUAGGCGGCCUGUCGCGUCAACCGUGAAAUCCCGUGGCUUAACUGCGGGCGUGCGGUUGAUACGGGUGGGCUAGAGUUCGGUAGGGGAGACUGGAAUUCCUGGUGUAGCGGUGAAAUGCGCAGAUAUCAGGAGGAACACCGGUGGCGAAGGCGGGUCUCUGGGCCGAUACUGACGCUGAGGAGCGAAAGCGUGGGGAGCGAACAGGAUUAGAUACCCUGGUAGUCCACGCCGUAAACGUUGGGCGCUAGGUGUGGGGGACCUUCCCGGUCUUCUGUGCCGUAGCUAACGCAUUAAGCGCCCGCCU
rnacentral:rRNA from 1 species